rnacentral:lncRNA from 1 species
GUUUUGGAAAAUUAAAAAACUAUUGUAUAUAUUCACGUAUGAUAGAUGUUAUUUUUAAAUGAAUUAACAAAUAUUUUGUAAUUUUCUCUGUCUCUCAGGCUGGAGUGCAGUGGUGUGAUCUUGGCUCACUGCAACCUCCAUCUCCAGGGUUCAAGUGAUUCUCCUGCCUCAACCUCCGGAGUAGCUGGGAUUACAGGUGUCUGCCACCACACCCGGCUAAUUUUUGUAUUUUUAGUAGAGACAGGGUUUCACCAUGUUGCCCAGGCUGGUCUUGAACUCCUGGCCUCAAGUGAUCUGCUCACCUUAGCCUCCUAAAGAGCUGGGAUUACAGGGGUAAGCACCACACCCAGCUACUUUUCUCAGUUUUAAUAUCUAGUACAGUAAAUAUCAAUAGACAAAACCUACACAAGCAUGAGCUCUUGGGGCCUCAAUAUGAAGAAGUUAUGAGACUAAGACUCCUGGGUGCUGCUGUUCUGGACUAGAGUAACUUUCCUUCCAAAAGUGAGGCCUGUGAGCUUGAAUAUGGAUAACAGGGCUGCGGCACAUCAGCCACAGGGGUACCUCUGCAUAUGGGGCUUGAAAAUUCAUAGGUAUUUGCAUCCAGAUGCCUAGAGAAGCUUCAACUCCCAUCUCAUUUUUACAGCACUGCACUUGCUCCCUGGCCUUUUGCCUUCUUUGUUGUCACUACCUGCCUGAGCCUUUGCUGAACCUGAGCACUGGAGAGGGAGAAGUGCCUUUUGUUUUGAAGAAGCCCGGCCUGAGAGAGACAUGUCGAUGACUUUGUAAGAACAGGCUUUGGUUGGAUUUGGGGAGCCAUUCGAAGGACACCCUAUGUGAGCACCGGGACAAGCUGCUGCUCUGGGGCACAUUUCUCCCCCUCGCCACCCUGGGCUGCCCAUCUGUUGAACAGAGCCUGCUGCUGCUUCUCUGUUCUCCCAUCUCUCUUAAACUGUGUGGUUUUCACUUUCCCCCGGUGGAGUAGAGGAUCUCUGUAUCUUGUCCGAUUUCUUCACGCUAGACUUUGGGGAGGAGGCACACGUGCAAUGAAUAAAGACUGGUCACCCAGAGCUUUCAGGGAGGUGCUCACUACCCUGAGAUGCCAGGAGCUCCCGAGAAGAGUGGAUAGAUCUAAGAAAGAACUCUCUGAAUUAGAAAUAAAGUACAGCAGCAGGCUGGCUUGUGUUUGCUAGUUAUAACCAGGGGCAGGAGUGGCCCUAGGGAGGGUGCGUUGUGACUUAGGUGCAACUGUUUGAAACAUGUCUUGUAGAGCAAUGUUGGAGAUGCUCACAGUCUGGCUCUCAGGACUGGGAAGACAUAAUGGAAUCACUGAAAUCUCCCAAGAUUGUGCAGGCCAGGUAGGUCAGGGUCUUUUCUACUCAUCUCAGGCUCUUUAAGGGAGAGAGUUACCUGGGAAAGGAGGUAUAGGGAAGUGCACCCAAGAAUCUGCAAGAGGGUGUCCUACUCAAACAAUAAGGAGGAAGCAGAUUCCUGUGCCCAUACAUUACUCAAACAACAGAUGCCCUUGAAUGUCUUGUGGGAAAUGUCACUAAGAGGAGCCCUACUACUCUGCACUUUCUGUCCCAGGUCCCAAGUUCCUUGUGAGCUCUGCCUCUGUCCCCCAGGGGAGGCUUCAGGCUGACCAGCUCAGCAGAGAGGUGAAAAGAAGAGGGAAGCCUCUUCCGUCACCUUUGAGAUAAAAAGAAAAAAAAAAUAAAAGACAGGGGGAGAAAGAGAGAGAAACAGAAAAAAAUCAAAGACUAAUCCUACAAAUUCUCCUUUAAUCUUAGAGCUUCCAGACCUAGUUUCUCUUUCAUCUAGGACUUCGAAGUUAUCUAGUUAUUUUAUGGGUAGUGAAACCACAAGACGAAGAGAGGGUGGUGGGGGGGAGAUUAAAUUAAUGAGCAGGUAAGCAGGUUUAUUAUUUCGUCUGAUCCUUCCUUCCUGCUAAUUUCUCUGAGCCAAUUUGGGAGGCAGAGCCUAACAUGUUAACUCAGAGACAGAGUAUUGUAUCCAUGUUCUUUCUGAAGCCAUUUAUCUGAAGGAUAUUAAAGAUCCAAUUUACAUAGACAUUAUGGCAUUGUGAGGAGGGUGUGUGCAUGUGCACAAAUGAGAGAGAGAAAGAGAGAGAGAGAGCGCUAGGGUAUCCAUCCAGUUGGGCCUGUGUUUGUGUACAUGCUCAACCUCCAAUGAGUGCCAUCCCUCAUGAGGCUCUCAAAGAAGUUUGCAAUCACUCAGCAAGUUAGUUCAAGAAGUCAUUGGGCCUUGACAGAAAUCAGGCUCCAGGCAACGGCGGAAAUGUUUAUUAAAUUUGUGCUUCAACCCUCAGGCUCCUGCAUUUCCUUAUCAUUGCUCCUAGGUUCACAGUAGAGGAAAUAGGGCCCUCUUGAGCUUGAUAUCUGCUUAAUUAAAUGCCUGAUCGUAUUGCCCCAGCCCAUGCGUGUGCCUAUGUAAUGAGGCACAGGGUAGGAUAGAUGCAGAAAAGAGGUCAGAUUACCAGGUUAACCCUCAGCUCCUAGGUUAACCCCAUCCAGUAAACAGAGAGCCCUCGAUUCCCCACAAGGAAACUGCGUGACCUGGGACAUUCUACAUAAUCUGGCAGCCGGGACUGUCAUUUUAGUCACUCAUGAAACGUAGAUUAAAAAACACCUAUUCUUCCUAUGAUUCUGCUUUGUUAAAAGCAUUGAAUGAAGAGAUAUACAUAAUAGCAUGCUACAGAGAAUUUAGCAGGAAUGAGGGGAUAUGAAGCAACUAUAGUGGUUUGUUGUGAAGAUUCUUUCAGGAAUAGCCAAUGUCCCUUUGCUUAUGUUGGGCUAAACAGGGAGCCUUCUGAUGGAUAAUCUGGCCUCCUAAGCAGACUUUCUCACCAGCCCAUGCCAAUGGCUAGUGCCAGCAGUCCUAUUAGGGAUGCUGCCAUUGUGAAUGAGUGUGCUGUCAUUCACCUCCAAUGCUUCCAUUCAUUCAUUGUGUAUUAGUCUGUUUUCACUCUGCUAGUAAAGACCUACCUGCCUGAGCCUUUGCUGAGCCUGAGCACUGGCGAGGGAGAAGCGCCUUUUGUUUUGAAGAAGCCUGGCCUGAGAGACAGAUGUCGAUGACUUCGUAAGAAGAGGCUUUGGUUGGAUUUGGGGAGCCAUUCGAAGGACACCCUGGAUAGAUCUGAGAAUGAACUCUCUGAAUUAGAAAUAAAGUAUAGCGGCAGGCUGGCUGAGUCUGGGUCAUUUAUUAAGGAAAGAGGUUUAAUUGACUCACAGUUACAUAUGGCUGGGGAGGCUUCACAAUCAUGGUGGAAGACAAAUGAGGAGAAAAAUCAUGUCUUACAUGGCAGCAGGCAAGAGAGCAUGUGCAGGGGAAUUCCCAUUUAUAAAACCAUCAGAUCUCGUGAGACUUAUUCACUACCAUGAAAACCGUAUGGGGGAGCUGCCCCAUAAUUCAAUUAUCUCCACCUGGCCCUGCCCUUGACAUGUGGGGACUAUUACAAUUCAAGGUGAAAUUUGGGUGGGGACUCAGCGAAACCAUACCACAUUAGUUCUUCCAUUGUUCAGCUGCCAUUCAUUGAUGAUCUGGUACAAUUGUUCAUAGCCUUGACUUUACUUUAGAUCACCUGUGAAGUUAUAACUCUCAUGCCUGGGCCUAUUCCCAGACCAAUUAAUUCAGAGGCUCUGAGAGUGGCUCCUAGCCACUGGUAUUUUAGUAAGGCACCCUAGGCUGUUCUAAUGAGUAGACAGGGUUAAAAUCAUUGACCUGGUAUAUGCCAUACAUUGUGCUUGUCCCAGAAGAUACACAGAUGAAUAAGAUGCUCUUAGCUCAAUGCAAACCAUCCCCCUAGUACUGAUCACCCCUGGGAACAUGGGGUGAUUAUAUUAAUAUUUCUCCAACUGAAAAGUUGAGACCUAAACUUUCUGAUGACCCCUCUAGAUGAUCUUCUCCACCUGCCUUUACUCAUGAGCCCAGCUUGCUGGCCUGACCCCUGCUCUUCAGAAUGAUAGGCAGUGCCUGAGUCCCAGGUAUCACUAAGAUCACCUUGGCUUCCCAGUGUGGCCUCUCUCCUGGUCCGGGCAUCUCUCAGGUCACUGCCUGCAGCACUGUUGGUGAAGCUGGUUUGGUGAUGAUUGGUCUGUUUUCCACCCAGGUUCUGGGCCAGAUCCUCAUGGAAUCCGUGAGAAGACAAUAUUCUCAACAGCUAUCUGUCUCAUAUUUCUUUCCUUCAGUUGCUUCCAGAAGAGUGGCUCUUUUCUUCCCUCUUGAAGCCUGGACUCUCGCUGGACCUGCAGUGAAGUUUAUGGUGGCAAGUUGAUUUCAAUACCUGAUUGAUUGAUAGCUGUUGCCUAGAAAGAAGGCUGUGUAGAAAAGGAUUUUGAGGUUGCACCUGGGCUCAGUGGGAAAGAAGGCUGCGGUUGAUUGGGACUGCUCUCACUAAAGGGACCAAGGAAGAUGAGGAGGAUGGUGCAAUGAGUGGAGUAGACCAGCUUUGCC